UGGGGAAUUUUGGACAAUGGGCGAAAGCCUGAUCCAGCAAUGCCGCGUGCAGGAUGAAGGCCUUCGGGUUGUAAACUGCUUUUGUACGGAACGAAAAAGCUUCUCCUAAUACGAGAGGCCCAUGACGGUGCCGUAAGAAUAAGCACCGGCUAACUACGUGCCAGCAGCCGCGGUAAUACGUAGGGUGCGAGCGUUAAUCGGAAUUACUGGGCGUAAAGCGUGCGCAGGCGGUUAUGUAAGACAGAUGUGAAAUCCCCGGGCUCAACCUGGGAACUGCAUUUGUGACUGCAUGGCUAGAGUACGGUAGAGGGGGAUGGAAUUCCGCGUGUAGCAGUGAAAUGCGUAGAUAUGCGGAGGAACACCGAUGGCGAAGGCAAUCCCCUGGACCUGUACUGACGCUCAUGCACGAAAGCGUGGGGAGCAAACA
rnacentral:rRNA from 1 species